rnacentral:rRNA from 1 species
GACGAACGCUGGCGGCGUGCUUAACACAUGCAAGUCGAACGGAAAGGCCCUGCUUUUGUGGGGUGCCCGAGUGGCGAACGGGUGAGUAACACGUGAGUAACCUGCCCUUGACUUUGGGAUAACUUCAGGAAACUGGGGCUAAUACCGGAUAGGAGCUCCUGCUGCAUGGUGGGGGUUGGAACGUUUCGGCGGUUGGGGAUGGACUCGCGGCUUAUCAGCUUGUUGGUGGGGUAGUGGCUUACCAAGGCUUUGACGGGUAGCCGGCCUGAGAGGGUGACCGGCCGCAUUGGGACUGAGAUACGGCCCAGACUGCUACGGGAGGCAGCAGUGGGGAAUAUUGCACAAUGGGCGGAAGCCUGAUGCAGCAACGCCGCGUGCGGGAUAACGGCCUUCGGGUUGUAAACCGCUUUCGCCUGUGACGAAGCGUGAGUGGCGGUAAUGGGUAGAGAAGCACCGGCUAACUACGUG